AAACGGUGGUAAUACCGGAUGCUCCGCUCCAUCGCAUGGUGGGGUGGGAAAUGCUUUUGCGGCAUGGGAUGGGGUCGCGUCCUAUCAGCUUGUUGGCGGGGUGAUGGCCCACCAAGGCGUUGACGGGUAGCCGGCCUGAGAGGGUGACCGGCCACAUUGGGACUGAGAUACGGCCCAGACUCCUACGGGAGGCAGCAGUGGGGAAUAUUGCACAAUGGGCGCAAGCCUGAUGCAGCGACGCCGCGUGCGGGAUGGAGGCCUUCGGGUUGUAAACCGCUUUUGUUCAAGGGCAAGGCACGGUUUCGGCCGUGUUGAGUGGAUUGUUCGAAUAAGCACCGGCUAACUACGUGCCAGCAGCCGCGGUAAUACGUAGGGUGCGAGCGUUAUCCGGAUUUAUUGGGCGUAAAGGGCUCGUAGGCGGUUCGUCGCGUCCGGUGUGAAAGUCCAUCGCCUAACGGUGGAUCUGCGCCGGGUACGGGCGGGCUGGAGUGCGGUAGGGGAGACUGGAAUUCCCGGUGUAACGGUGGAAUGUGUAGAUAUCGGAAAAAAAACACCA
rnacentral:rRNA from 1 species